UACGGAGGAUCCAAGCGUUAUCCGGAUUUAUUGGGCUUAAAGGGUGCGUAGGCGGCCUGUUAAGUCAGGGGUGAAAGACGGUAGCUCAACUAUCGCAGUGCCCUUGAUACUGAUGGGCUUGAAUACACUAGAGGUAGGCGGAAUGUGACAAGUAGCGGUGAAAUGCAUAGAUAUGUCACAGAACACCGAUUGCGAAGGCAGCUUACUAUGGUGUUAUUGACGCUGAGGCACGAAAGCGUGGGGAUCAAACAGG
rnacentral:misc_RNA from 1 species